rnacentral:misc_RNA from 1 species
GAAAUGCGAUAAUUAAUGUGAAUUGCAGAAUUCAGUGAAUCAUCGAGUCUUUGAACGCACAUUGCGCCCCCUGGUAUUCCGGGGGGCAUGCCUGUCCGAGCGUCAUUGCUGUCCUCAAGCACGGCUUGUGUGUUGGGCUUCCGUCCCUGGCAACGGGGACGGGCCCAAAAGGCAGUGGCGGCACCAUGUCUGGUCCUCGAGCGUAUGGGGCUUUGUCACCCGCUCCCGUAGGUCCAGCUGGCAGCUAGCCUCGCAACCAAUCUUUUUAACCAGGUUGACCUCGGAUCAGGUAGGGAUACCCGCUGAACUUAAGC